CUGGAGUUUAGGACAACAGAAAGCUUUGAUGCCUCCGAAAAUCAGCUGGACGGUGGGAGGGAUCAAGAAUGACUGCCGUCACCAUGGAAACUCCUUGAUGGCGAGAUUGCUUUGAGAACCAGGAGGGGAUGAGAUAAGCACCAGAGGAACACUGGGCAGUCAGGGCCCAGCAUCCACCAACCCUUUCUUCCAGAUAACUCCUUUGUUCUCUGGGCUGGUCUCCCUCUUGCUCCUAUAGGGGCCCUUUCUGACUCUUCACCUGUUUUGAUUCUUCAGUGGUGCCCUUCCCGGGUCUGGGAGGGAAGGGCCCGAGGCCCACUCAGGGCUGCCCCAGGAUGGCCACUUCUCACUGCAGCCCAGACACCCUGGUCUAUAAGACACACUAUCCUUGCCACUGAGAAGGAAGGGACGUCAACACUUUUGAGCCAAGCCCUGUGUCCCCUGCAUCCUGCAAGGAAGAAGAAAAAUAAAGACCUGACUAUUUUUCACAGGUGCAACGGGUGACUAAAGACAGAAAGAGAGUGGUGUGGUUUUCACUUCAUCUUGUUGAGAAGCCAGGGCCUGAAGUCCAGAGAUCCCCAUUCACAUGCACCCUCUUGGGUGGGAAGGGGAGGAACUCUUACCUCCCUCUCUGCCAUGUUCUCCUCUCGUUGCCCAUUUGUGUACUAUCCUCCCUGUCCCCUACCUGACUGCAUGUGCCUUCAAUGCAAAGGUCUUACUGCUCAUCAGCUUUACAUCUGCAUCACAGUCACAAUUCCUGCACCUUACAGGCCUGGAUCAAAUUCUUGUGAAUGAGCAAAAGCAUCUCUAAAGGUCACCAGUGCCCUGCUUGUCUCAAUCCUAGCCGGACACUAGGCUAUAAUGCUCAUUAUAAAUGUGAAAAUAAGGAAGGAGACCACCUCUCCCAUUGUCUCCUGUUUCAAAAAGGAAGCAGAAAGUUAAAAAGAAGCAGAAGUGAGGUCAACAGCCAGACAGCUUGGCACCAAAAACCAGGCCUGGUAGUUAAACAUCAACUCCUAACCUAACUGCUUGUGUUAUCUGUAGAUGCCAGACAUCGUAUGAGGAAGCGCUGUGAAACUUUCUGUUCUGUUCUGCUAGCCCCCAUUACUGAUGCACGUAGCCCUCAAUCCCAUAGCCCCCGCUUGCACAAUGUAUCACGACCCUUUCACGUGGACCCCUUAGAGUUGUAAGCCCUUAAAAGGGACAGGAAUCUUCACUUUGGGGAGCUCAGACCUUGAGAUGCGAGUCUACUGAUGCUCCCAGCUGAUUAAAGCCUCUUCCUUCCUUAAACU
rnacentral:lncRNA from 1 species